GACGAACGCUGGCGGCGUGCUUAACACAUGCAAGUCGAACGGAAAGGCCCUUUCGGGGGUACUCGAGUGGCGAACGGGUGAGUAACACGUGGGUGAUCUGCCCUGCACUUUGGGAUAAGCCUGGGAAACUGGGUCUAAUACCGGAUAGGACUACGGCCUGCAUGGGUUGUGGUGGAAAGCUUUUGCGGUGUGGGAUGGGCCCGCGGCCUAUCAGCUUGUUGGUGGGGUGAUGGCCUACCAAGGCGACGACGGGUAGCCGGCCUGAGAGGGUGUCCGGCCACACUGGGACUGAGAUACGGCCCAGACUCCUACGGGAGGCAGCAGUGGGGAAUAUUGCACAAUGGGCGCAAGCCUGAUGCAGCGACGCCGCGUGAGGGAUGGAGGCCUUCGGGUUGUGAACCUCUUUCACCCACGACGAAGCGCAAGUGACGGUAGUGGGAGAAGAAGCACCGGCCAACUACGUGCCAGCCGCCGCCGUAACAC
rnacentral:rRNA from 1 species